CAUCUAAAGUGUAUGGACUUCCUGCUGUCUUCUUCUUCUUCAGGUCAUCUAAAGUGUUUGGACUUCCUGCUGUCUUCUACUACAGGUCAUCUAAAGUGUAUGGACUUCCUGCUCUCUUCUUCUACAGGUCAUCUAAAGUGUAUGGACUUCCUGCUCUCUUCUUCUACAGGUCAUCUAAAGUGUAUGGACUUCCUGCUCUCUUCUUCUACAGGUCAUCUAAAGUGUAUGGACUUCCUGCUCUCUUCUUCUACAGGUCAUCUAAAGUGUAUGGACUUCCUGCUCUCUUCUACUACAGGUCAUCUAAAGUGUAUGGACUUCCUGCUGUUGUCUUCUUCUUCAGGUCAUCUAAAGUGUUUGGACUUCCUGC